rnacentral:rRNA from 1 species
GGAGAGCACUCCUACGGGAGGCAGCAGUGGGGAAUAUUGCACAAUGGGCGCAAGCCUGAUGCAGCCAUGCCGCGUGUAUGAAGAAGGCCUUCGGGUUGUAAAGUACUUUCAGCAGUGAGGAAGGUGGGUAUGUUAAUAGCAUAUUCAUUUGACGUUAGCUGCAGAAGAAGCACCGGCUAACUCCGUGCCAGCAGCCGCGGUAAUACGGAGGGUGCGAGCGUUAAUCGGAAUUACUGGGCGUAAAGCGCAUGCAGGUGGUUUGUUAAGUCAGAUGUGAAAGCCCGGGGCUCAACCUCGGAAUUGCAUUUGAAACUGGCAAACUAGAGUACUGUAGAGGGGGUAGAAUUUCAGGUGUAGCGGUGAAAUGCGUAGAGAUCUGAAGGAAUACCGGUGGCGAAGGCGGCCCCCUGGACAGAUACUGACACUCAGAUGCGAAAGCGUGGGGAGCAAACAGGAUUAGAUACCCUGGUCG